UGGGGAAUAUUGCGCAAUGGGCGAAAGCCUGACGCAGCCACGCCGCGUGUGCGAUGAAGGUCUUCGGAUCGUAAAGCACUGUGGGGAGAGAAGAAACAAGCCGGUGAAGAGCCGGCCCUGACGGUAUCUCCUUAGCAAGCACCGGCUAACUCCGUGCCAGCAGCCGCGGUAAUACGGAGGGUGCAAACGUUGCUCGGAAUCAUUGGGCGUAAAGCGCACGUAGGCGGCCUAUCAAGUCGGAUGUGAAAGCCCUGGGCUCAACCCCGGAAGUGCAUCCGAAACUGACAGGCUUGAAUGCCGGAGGGGCCCAGAGAAUUCCCGGUGUAGAGGUGAAAUUCGUAGAUAUCGGGAGGAAUACCAGUGGCGAAGGCGCUGGGCUGGACGGCGAUUGACGCUGAGGUGCGAAAGCGUGGGGAGCAAACAGG
rnacentral:rRNA from 1 species